AUUCCCAGAUAGCACACGUACGUCGCGGAGAUGUCUGCGCGAUGUCUUGUUUUUCGUCUGGAAGACGUAUUAUUUAGGGCGUUUGCUCAUCUGGAAGGCGUCGCCGAGACGUCCGACCCAGCUGUUUGCAAGACACCCAGCAGAUCUUUACAAGAUGUAUGUUAUUUAGAACGAUGGCGAGCCGCCGUUUCCCAGAUCUUUACAAGAUGUUAGAACGGCAAGCCGCUCUUUCACAGAUCUUUAGCAGAGCUUUAAAAGAUGCGGAGCCGCUCUUUCACAGAUCUUUAGCAGAUCUUUAAAAGAUGCGGAGCCGCUCUUUCCCAGAUCUUAAGAAGAGCUUUAAAAGAUGCCGAGCCGCUCUUUCCCAGAUCUUUAGAAGAGCUUAGAAAGACGGUAAGCCGCUCUUUCCCAGAUGUUUGUAAGAUUACAAGAUCCCUCAUUAACAAAUUGAAUUGCCCUAAACUACAGCAAAUUAUUUCUACACACAUCUACACAUGCAAGCUGUGUCAUCGAUAUUAAGUAAUUAAAACAGCAUUUUCAAUUGAUCUUAAAACAGGCAGUUGUUGAUUUUAUAAAACACAUUUAUUCAAAUUAAACAAUGAAAACUUUCAUUCAUUUAUCUUUAAAUAUAUUUUUUACAUGACAGUAUGCGAAAACAACAACAUAAACAUAACAUAUUUAAAAUAAUCAAAACCUUUCCUCGUCUGCUUUAUUAAUCUCCAUUCUAAAAUAAAACAUUUCAAAAACUUACCAGGAAAUAAUCGUGAUAGGCUGCUCUUUCUUUAUAGCUUUAAUUAGGAUCUAGAAGAUAAAAUUACCCGAAAGUGUUAUCAUUGUUAAAUAAAUUACGGAUGUGCGUCUUUACGUCAAGGUCGUGAUUCUACAUAACAACAUCCGCUUGACCUCGCAUUCGCAAUGCCAAGAAGAAGAAAGGCGUGGAACACAUGCUUAAGCCUGUCAAGAUCCUUCAGAUGAUGUUUGAGAAAAAGUCAUCAUCCUCUUCGUCACUCUUCAUCCGUAUUUAAGACCUGCACCUUCCUUGAACAUGUUGGUAA